rnacentral:rRNA from 1 species
UCCGGUGGUCAUAGCGGAGAGGAAACACCCGUUCCCAUUCCGAACACGGAAGUUAAGCUCUCUGGCGCCGAUGGUACUGCAUGGGUGACUGUGUGGGAGAGUAGGUAGCUGCCGGGA